ACAUGCCAAAGCCAAGGACGAGGGUCAAACUGGGGAAACUAGGAACAGAGUCUUUGUGGCGAUAUAUCAAGCACUUCAAUCUAGUGAAUAACAUUUCAAAUGCUUCAAGGGACCAAAUCCUUCAAGUUGUGCAACAGCAUUUUGCAUUACAGACAAGUUUGAACGAGGCAUCGGUGAUGACUGAAUUCAUUCGAGCUGUUAAGAGACGAAGGGAGUGAGGGAAUGAGAGUAAUGAUAUUGAAAAGUGAUUCACGUAAAUGUAUGUUUGUAUAGUGAUUAAAGACUAGUGAGUAUGCCUGUUAACCAUAGUCUAUAACUAUGUAAACUUCUAACUAUCUAACAUUCUGUUGACAACUUUCUAGACCCAUACUAUAUAUUUAGCAUCUCUCCCAAGUCCUGAUGAAA